rnacentral:rRNA from 1 species
CGUAGGUGGCAAGCGUUGUCCGGAAUUAUUGGGCGUAAAGCGCGCGCAGGCGGUCCUUUAAGUCUGAUGUGAAAGCCCACGGCUCAACCGUGGAGGGUCAUUGGAAACUGGGGGACUUGAGUACAGAAGAGAAGAGUGGAAUUCCACGUGUAGCGGUGAAAUGCGUAGAGAUGUGGAGGAACACCAGUGGCGAAGGCGACUCUUUGGUCUGUAACUGACGCUGAGGCGCGAAAGCGUGGGGAGCAAACAGGAUUAGAUACCCUGGUAAUCCACGCUGUAAACGAUGAGUGCAAAGUGUUAGAGGGUUUCCGCCCUUUAGUGCUGCAGCUAACGCAUUAAGCACUCCGCCUGGGGAGUACGGCCGCAAGGCUG